rnacentral:rRNA from 1 species
UGGGGAAUCUUGCACAAUGGGGGAAACCCUGAUGCAGCGACGCCGCGUGAACGAUGAAGCCCUUCGGGGUGUAAAGUUCUUUUGACAGGAACGAUAAUGACGGUACCUGGAGAAGAAGCUGCGGCUAACUACGUGCCAGCAGCCGCGGUAAUACGUAGGCAGCGAGCGUUGUUCGGAGUUACCGGGCGUAAAGAGUGCGUAGGCGGCGAGCCAAGUUUGGUGUGAAAUCUCCCGGCUUAACCGGGAGGGUGCGCCGAAAACUGGUUGGCUGGAGUAUGGGAGAGGAAAGCGGAGUUCCUGGUGUAGCGGUGAAAUGCGUAGAUAUCAGGAGGAACACCUGCGGUGUAGACAGCUUUCUGGACCAAAACUGACGCUGAGGCACGAAAGCGUGGGUAGCAAACA